rnacentral:misc_RNA from 1 species
AAGGAUCAUUCACAAUGAGUGUUUAAUGGCACUUUUAAUCCAUUACCCACCUUGUGUGCAAUGUCGAGGAAAGAUUCGUGUGUCUUCUCAUACGGGUUUUUCUUUUCAUUCAUACCAUGUUUUUCACUAUCAGUCUACAUCAAUCGAGUAAUUAAAAAACUCUAAUACAACUUUCAACAACGGAUCUCUUGGCUCUC